GACGAACGCUGGCGGCGUGCUUAACACAUGCAAGUCGAACGGAAAGGCCCUGCUUUUGUGGGGUGCUCGAGUGGCGAACGGGUGAGUAACACGUGAGUAACCUGCCCUUGACUUUGGGAUAACUUCGGGAAACUGGGGCUAAUACCGGAUAGGAGCUCCUGCUGCAUGGUGGGGGUUGGAAAGUUUCGGCGGUUGGGGAUGGACUCGCGGCUUAUCAGCUUGUUGGUGGGGUAGUGGCUUACCAAGGCUUUGACGGGUAGCCGGCCUGAGAGGGUGACCGGCCACAUUGGGACUGAGAUACGGCCCAGACUCCUACGGGAGGCAGCAGUGGGGAAUAUUGCACAAUGGGCGGAAGCCUGAUGCAGCAACGCCGCGUGCGGGAUGACGGCCUUCGGGUUGUAAACCGCUUUCGCCUGUGACGAAGCGCGAGUGACGGUAAUGGGUAAAGAAGCACCGGCUAACUACGUG
rnacentral:rRNA from 1 species